rnacentral:rRNA from 1 species
CGGAGGGUGCAAGCGUUGUCCGGAUUCACUGGGUUUAAAGGGUGCGUAGGUGGGCUUGUAAGUCAGUGGUGAAAUCUCCGGGCUUAACCCGGAAACUGCCAUUGAUACUAUAGGUCUUGAAUUAUCUGGAGGUCAGCGGAAUAUGUCAUGUAGCGGUGAAAUGCUUAGAUAUGACAUAGAACACCAAUUGCGAAGGCAGCUGGCUACAGGUAUAUUGACACUGAGGCACGAAAGCGUGGGGAUCAAACAGGAUUAGAUACCCUGGUAGUCCACGCCCUAAACGAUGGAUACUCGACAUUUGUGAUACACAAUAAGUGUCUGAGCGAAAGCAUUAAGUAUCCCACCUGGGAAGUACGACCGCAAGGUUG